UCGUUUUCAAGGUUACAUUUAACAGAGAUUACAUAAUUGGUUAUAACUAUUUACACUUCACAACCGUUUAAAAGUCUGCUUGUAUAAUGUUGGUCAAAUAUCAAACGAUUCCACUCUUCAAAUCAAGUACAAUAACCAUUUUGAAGUGAAAGUUCGUAAGAUAAAUUAAAGUAAGAGCUGGUAGAAUAAAAUUGGACAAUAGGAAUGUUAAUAUAUUACCAUGAUUUGAUACUUCAAAGCGUCUUUGCUUUCUAAAAAUUCAACUAUUUCCAUUCCAUAGGAAGAAAAGAAUCGUAACCCUUUUUCCCCUUUCUUUUGUUUUGGCUAUUUAAGUAGAAAACCAUGUUUUGGCUCUUCCAUUUCCCUUCUUGUUUGGAAUCUCCUUGUUAUUCAGGACCUAUAGUGACCGGGACGAAGCU
rnacentral:lncRNA from 1 species